AUGACGGCCUUCUUGUUGUAAACCUCUUUCAGCAGGGACGAAGCGCUCGUGACGGUAGGUACAGAAGAAACACCGGCCAACUACGUGCCAGCAGCCGCGGUAAUACGUAUGGUGCGAGCGUUGUCCGGAAUUAUUGGGCGUAAAGGGCUCGUAGGCGGUUUGUCGCGUCUGGAGUGAAAACUCACGGCUUAACUCUGAGCCUGCUUCCGAUACGGGCAGACUAGAGGUAUGCAGGGGAGAACGGAAUUCCUGGUGUAGCGGUGAAAUGCGCACAUAUCAGGAGGAACACCGGUGGCGAAGGCGGUUCUCUGGGCAUGACCUGACGCUGAGGAGCGAAAGUGUGGGGAGCGAACAGGAUUAGAUACCCUGGUAGUCCACACCGUAAACGUUGGGCGCUAGGUGUGGGAUCCAUUCCACGGGUUCCGUGCCGCAGCUAACGCAUUAAGCGCCCCGCCUGGGGAGUACGGCCGCAAGGCUAAAACUCAAAGGAAUUGACGGGG
rnacentral:rRNA from 1 species